ACCUGCACUGCAACACUGCGCUGUCUGCACCGCAGUGCAGCUGCAGGCCCGGCAUGUGGGCUUACAACGCCACUCACUGCGUACCCCAGCGAGUGUGGCGCAUGGGUCAUCAACUGUGGCUGGGCAAGAGACUUGUAGGCGGCGUCUGCCAAGUGUCCAUAACAGUCCGGAGGACGGCGCAAUUACGAGUUCUCUUGGCCAACAACGAAGACUUUUACGGCAGUAACUUGCGACAAAUUCAAAUUGCGUUUGGGAUGGACGGUAUCACCCAAACUGCGAUCUAUAACUACUCAUAUUGGAUUCGGC